UUUUCAUUUUAUUUAUUGCAGAUUAAACAGAAAACAUAUGUCUCUGCGGAAAUAGGGCUUGACACAAAUAACAUUGGAAAACUUCAUUUGAAACAGCGCAGUGGUAAUUUGAAUGUUACAAAUGGCUCCGUAGUUAUUGCUACCGACGGACUCUACCUGGUGCACCUGGAGGGUUAUCUAAGAGACAAAAAUAGCAACAACACAGUGACUGUUUGGAAGUUGAAUGAACAAGAAGGCGAAACUCACCUUAUGACUGAGUCUAUCAAAGGAAAUUGCAUUAGAACAAUGAUGGUUAGAGACCUGAUGCAGAAUGAUAAAAUCUACAUUCAGAAA